UAACGAUAGCUUUUGUGUAAAGGACAUCGUACACAAACCCGAGCUCCACGCCAAUCACUUUGAAAGCAUCUUCCCACAAAUUUUCCUGAAAAAACGAUACGCUUUUCUGGAGAUCCUGGAAGCUAAGGAUGAGGUCUGCAAAAAGGCGCUUGAAUGUGGGAAAGAAGUCGUGGGCAGCAUUCAGGAUUUUUGCAUCUGGAAUGAGCCUAUUUGUUCCAGCUGCAUAGUCUGGAGCCACUACUUUCGGUGCUUGGGUGACACUCCACGACAAUUAGAAUCCCUCGGUUUCUUUUAGCACAUAUUCCUCCAUGAAUUUGGCGUAAUUGGGGCCUGGAUCAGGACGAGGUAGAAUGGACUUUCUGAAGUGUUGGCUGCUAGCAGACCUGAGAAUCCAAGUCCUCUCCCUAUAUUUAACAAUUCCGGCAAUAAAUAUAGGAAUCGCAAUGAAGUUAAGGUCGGUGGGUUUCAAGGCUCUAACAGAGACAUAAAGUGCCACACCCACUUGGACAACGAGUCCGAGCAAGUGCGUCAGCCACAACUCAUUGUCUUCCAAGGAAUAAGCAGUGAUGGUAUCAGGGCCACCAAGGUGCAGGAGAAGGAAAGGUGCCCAAAAUGCCAUAAUCACAUAGCUCGGAUCGACUGAAUUGUUAUCUUUGGAGUUGGAAUCUCCCUGGUUGUUGGCAAGGACGCCAAGGGAAAACGGUGGCAAUCCAGUCGGCCAAAAGAUAGGCAAGCCAAAGAAUGAUCCUGAUCCAGUUCUUCGUGUUGGACUUCCUCCGACUGCCUAGGCUAAUGAGUAGGAUCUGUAGGAAGAGGCUUAGUACGACCAUCACAAGGAGCUCCCAGUUGUUCCAUAGUUUUGCUAAUUUUGAUGGGAAAAUCUGCAUAGUUCUUCUCUUUCUUUCCAAAGAUCAGGCUGCCAAGAGCUCAAAUGUAAUUAAGAGUUUACAAAAACUCAUAUGAGAGAGAGAGAGAGAGAUUUGUGGAAUCCUUGUGGAGACUGUUUGCGAAAGAAGGACAAGCUAGGAAACUUCCUGGCAAGACGCUGAUCAAUUUCCAGGUACAUACGGCAUUUGCUUUCUCAGUCAAGAUUACUUUCCAUGAAAAAAUUGGUUACCCCACACGGCAGAGUGCCCAUUUAAACAAGAAAACCUGUAUUUCAAUCAAUUAGAAAGCGAUAAUGUUCAUCCGCCUUGUCUGAACAUAAUUCACUUGGACACUACCUGAAUUCAGUGGAGAACAUUAACUUUAUCUCAUAACACACGACGACAACAAAAAAAUCCAUUCACUAUAAAAUACAUGUUUAUAUAAUCUGGUUCUUUCUUGCGUGUCUCAUUAAAAUAGAGAGAGUAACAAAUUUUAUUAAUAAAUAAAAUUAAAUACUAAUUUUCAUAAUAAAAUAUACCUUUUAGUAUAUUUCUCGAAUAUAUAUGUCAUUCAUAUUUUAGGAGAUUUUCAAAAGACUUAAACAAAUGAAUUAAUGAUGUCGAGUAGAGACUAAUUGCAAGGUUAAGCAGAAUAAAUGCCUAACUCACUUUCUCAUUCGGCACCUUAAAUCCAAACCUAUUUGUGGUGACGAUAGGACUAAACUUGUCCGUAUGAAUUCUCAUAAAAUCAUGGUUCUUGAACCUGAAUUAAGGUCCAAUUUGAGCUAGUUAAAUCAUCUCUCUUUUAACCAUUUUGGAUAGCUUUUUUUUGUUUUGUUUUUAGAGAUUUUUUUCCGUCUUUUGAUCAAAAUUUAUAAUCUUUUAGUUCUUCUUAGCGGGAGUAAUCUAAAAAUAUAAAACUCUAAUUUAAUUUGAGAUUAAAAUCACUAAAGAUAAAAAAAAUUAUUUUUACUCAACCAAUAAAUUAAUUUUUUAUUCUUUAAUUGAUUUUAUUUUCAAAUUGAGUUAAAACUUUUAUAUUUUCAGUUUUCUCUUGUUGAGCCGAAAAAACACUUAAUUUUGAUCAAAGGGAGAAAAAUAGUUAAUAAAAACAGAAAAACUUGCAAACCAAAAUAACUAAAUUAAGUAGCUCAUUUCUUGAGCUAAUUACUCGCAUUAGAUAUUUUUUUUACAAUGUUUAGAAAUAAUUUAAUUAUAUUUGUUUCAAAUCCUUCAAAAAAAAAAAAAAAAGAACGAAUUCAGUAAACUUUCCAAUACUGUAAAUUCGUUUAGAAUUCUUACCAAUUUUUCAUAAAAGCAAGUGUACGAUCACUUUCCCGAACACUUUCCACGAUACUACCGAGCCAUUUGCUUUCUCCUUCGUGGCACAGACGCGUUGAGAUUAUUUGGUGCUCUUGAAAUAGUACUCUACGCAUUAAUCGCCUCUUCCCAAAUCUCUCUGUCUUUAAAUACAGAUCUGGAAGUCCAAAUUAACACGUAAAAUUACAUAUAUGCGUGAAAGGGAGGUUCGAACAAGAGACGGUGAGGGUUGCGGUGGUGGUGGUGGUGGUGGUGGACCGGUGGUUUCCCUGGCAUUUUCCUUGAUAGAGAAAGCGAAAAGGUAUCCUCCGAAC
rnacentral:lncRNA from 1 species